CGAGUUUGAUCCUGGCUCAGAACGAACGCUGGCGGCAGGCCUAACACAUGCAAGUCGAACGCCGUAGCAAUACGGAGUGGCAGACGGGUGAGUAACACGUGGGAACGUACCCUUCGGUUCGGAAUAACUCAGGGAAACUUGAGCUAAUACCGGAUACGUCCGUAAGGAGAAAGAUUUAUCGCCGAAGGAUCGGCCCGCGUCGGAUUAGCUAGUUGGCGGGGUAAUAGCCCACCAAGGCGACGAUCCGUAGCUGGUCUGAGAGGAUGAUCAGCCACACUGGGACUGAGACACGGCCCAGACUCCUACGGGAGGCAGCAGUGGGGAAUAUUGGACAAUGGGCGAAAGCCUGAUCCAGCCAUGCCGCGUGAGUGAUGAAGGCCUUAGGGUUGUAAAGCUCUUUCAGCGGGGAAGAUAAUGACGGUACCCGCAGAAGAAGCCCCGGCUAACUUCGUG
rnacentral:rRNA from 1 species